GCGCCAUUCCAUCGUUACAAUGGUGGAGUUGGUAGGUGUGCACAGGCCAGACAAUGGGGCUGGAUGCAGGGCCGGUGGCCCAAAAAGAGUGCUGAAUUUUCACUACACAUGCUCAAAAAUGCAGAGAGUAAUGCUGAACUUAAGGGCUUAGAUGUAGAUUCUCUGGUCAUUGAGCACAUCCCAGUGAACAAAGCCCCCAAGAUGCGGCGCAGGACUUACAGAGCUCACGGUCGGAUCAACCCCUACAUGAGCUCUUCCUGCCACAUUGAGAUGAUCCUUACUGAAAAAGAACAGAUUGUCCUAAACCAGAAGAGGAGGUUGCACAGAAGAAAAAGAUAUCCCAGAAGAAACUGAAGAAACAAAAACUUAUGCCAGAAGAAACUGAAG